UACGUAUGGGGCAAGCGUUAUCCGGAAUUAUUGGGCGUAAAGAGUGCGUAGGUGGUUACCUAAGCGCAAGGUUUAAUCUUGAGGCUCAACCUCAUUCUGCCUUGCGAACUGGGCUACUUGAGUGCAGGAGGGGAAAGCGGAAUUCCCAGUGUAGCGGUGAAAUGCGUAGAUAUUGGGAAGAACACCGGUGGCGAAGGCGGCUUUCUGGACUGUAACUGACACUGAGGCACGAAAGCGUGGGGAGCAAACAGGAUUAGAUACCCGGGUAGUCCCUGAG
rnacentral:rRNA from 1 species